AGUGAACGCUGGCGGUAGGCCUAACACAUGCAAGUCGAACGGCAGCACAGAGGAGCUUGCUCCUUGGGUGGCGAGUGGCGGACGGGUGAGGAAUACAUCGGAAUCUACUCUGUCGUGGGGGAUAACGUAGGGAAACUUACGCUAAUACCGCAUACGACCUACGGGUGAAAGCAGGGGAUCUUCGGACCUUGCGCGAUUGAAUGAGCCGAUGUCGGAUUAGCUAGUUGGCGGGGUAAAGGCCCACCAAGGCGACGAUCCGUAGCUGGUCUGAGAGGAUGAUCAGCCACACUGGAACUGAGACAAGGUCCAGACUCCUACGGGAGGCAGCAGUGGGGAAUAUUGGACAAUGGGCGCAAGCCUGAUCCAGCCAUACCGCGUGGGUGAAGAAGGCCUUCGGGUUGUAAAGCCCUUUUGUUGGGAAAGAAAUCCAUCUGGUUAAUACCCGGGUGGGAUGACGGUACCCAAAGAAUAAGCACCGGCUAACUUCGUGCCAGCCGCCGAGGUAA
rnacentral:rRNA from 1 species